CAUAAUUUUAGAUUAAUUUUCACUUUUCGGCGCCCCCAGUGUCAAGUAUUAGCCGCUGUACAUUUACUAAGUAACUAACGUCACUAACGUUACCUAUUGUUUACGUUGCCUAUUGUUUACGUAACGUUGCCUUGUGCGCAACGUCACAUAACUUGAAUACAAUUUGAUAUGAACACAACGCCUUUCAUUACUAACCCUUAAGCGAAGUACUAACCACAAGAAACACGAUACACGAUAA
rnacentral:lncRNA from 1 species